GUAUAACUAAGACUCCUGGGAGAAGCCACAUCUUAGAACUUACUGUGAGCACAGGAUAAAGAAGGAAACAUGACUGUCUUUAGAAGGAAGAUUCCAAGAACUGGUUGACUGUGGUGAAAACAGAGUCUGCCUAUACAUGCCUGGUUUAAUUACGCCUAAAUACAAAAGCCAUGUGAAGCCCGAAGAUACUGGAUAUAUGAGAUUUGUCAAGCCAUUUUUCCUACCACCAAUGCCUGAACAUGACCUCAUUUAUCUUGAUCAAUGAAGCUCAAGGAAGCAUUGCACUUUGGCUUCUGCUUUAAGUUUUGUAUGUUGAUGUGUAUCCCAUGUCUUCUAACAAUAAAGUGCUAUUUUUCUGGCAUUAAUCACUGUCAAA